rnacentral:rRNA from 1 species
GUUGAACGCUGGCGGCGUGCCUAACACAUGCAAGUCGAACGAGUGGCGGACGGUUGAGUAAUGUCUGGUAACCUGCGCGAAGGCUGGGGAUCACUACGGGAAACGGUAGCUAAUACGGCAUACCAUCGGAUGUGCGCAGAUGGGCUUAGCUAGUAGGUGGGGUAACGGCCCACCUAGGCGACGAUCCCUAGCUGAUCUGAGAGGGUGACCAGCCACACUGGAACUGAGACACGGUCCAGACGCCUACGGGAGGCAGCAGUGGGGAAUAUUGGACAAUGGGCGCAAGCCUGACCGAGCAAUGCCGCGUGUAUGAAGAAGGUCUUCGGGUUGUAAAGUUCUUUCAGCGGGGAGGCGUUAUUCAAAGAAAAAGCACCGGCUAACUCCGUGCCAGCAGCCGCGGUAAUAC